GGUUGCUGAGCCACCACAUAUACAUCAACUGUAUUAGGCUCAGCAGGCUCAACUACAUUCCCCUCAUCAACAUUCUUCUCUUUAGGUUCAAUUUUCUUGUUAUAGCAGUCUUUUAUGUAAUGACCAAGCUUACCACAGCCAUAGCACUUUCUGUUAUUCCUAGAUUUUGAUUUAGAUCUUGAUUUACUCCUGAACUUCUUCCUAUUACUGUUUCCAGAAUUGUUU
rnacentral:lncRNA from 1 species